UUUCUUAUUGCAAAGCUUGAGUCAACGUAACUAAGCCAGCAGUUUUGUUUAUUGGAUACGGCGUAGUAGCCUCGCCAAAUCUGGAAUUCAAAACAUUUUAAUCUCCCAUAAGCCAUUUAUAAUUUAAUUAUAAUAAAUUAUGCAGGCCGUGGCAAGGGCAGAAAUUGAACCAGCUAUAAAAACGCCUGGAGGGAAACCACAUCAACUCAAAACCAAAAUGAAUCUAAAACUGAGCGUGCUUCUUUUCAUGGUUUACAACUUUGGCGUGAGGUGGUCAUUUGCAAGAUCGGCAGGAGAGUAAAGUACUUUAAUUGGGUACACUAAUAAAAGUGAUGAAAAUUAAUUGCCUUGGAGUCUUAUUAAUUUUAGAUAGAUAGAUUAAAUGGAGAUAGUUGCAGCAUAUCAACUUAGUACAGGACCUCCUUUCCCUGAGACGAAGGUGCAGGCCAUUGUCUGAUUUAAGGGUUAGCACCGCGGAUAGAAUAGGAUCGUAUCUGUGCCGUCCUGCCUCGCACUUCAACUUUUCGCCUGGGGAGAGACCGAGUUCUAGGAGCGCAAACUUUUGGCCAAUGCAGUUUCGUGGUCCAGCACUGAAUGGUAAAUACUCAAAGGGAGCGGGUUUUUCCUCCUCAAAUCGCUCCGGUCGAAAAUGAUGGGGAUCCUUGAAGAUGCGGUCGUUGUAGCCCAGCAGAAUGAGAGCCAGAUUGAGAGUGGUGCCCUUGGGCACCAGGCUGCCAUCUAAGGAAGGAGAAAAUGUAGAACUAUUUUGUUUUGUAAAUAUAUAAGAUACUUACUGAUAUCAUAA